AUGGCAGCAUCUGCAGAAAUUGUGAAGAAGUCCAGUGCCGAGGUUCUCGAGGUGGUCACCUCCGUGUUCCAGCCGGGGAACCUUGCGGUGGAGGAAAUUCAGGUGCAUGGGAAAAAGGUACCGACACCACCGAUACCGGUCCUGAUCGUAGCACCCAAGGAUGCAGGAACCUACCCCGUUGCCAUGUUCUUGCACGGCUUCUUCCUCCAUAACCACUACUACAAACAACUUCUCCAUCACAUCGCAUCACAUGGCUUCAUCAUGGUUGCACCCCAGUUCAACAACUGUAUCAUACCUGUGGGUGACGCCAAUGACAUCGCCGCCGCAGCUAAGGUCGCAGACUGGCUCCCCGACGGUCUUCCGUCCAUGCUCCCUGAAGGCGUCCAGCCGGAGCUCUCGAAGCUCGCCUUGGCCGGCCACAGCCGAGGAGGCCACACGGCUUUCUCCUUGGCCUUGGGGCAUGCCAAGACCCACCUAACCUUCUCCGCGCUGGUCGGCCUAGACCCUGUUGCCGGCAAAGGAAAGUCCUCUCAGCUCAAACCCAAGAUCCUCACCUACGAGCCCUCCUCUUUCGACAUUGACAUGCCUGUGCUAGUCAUUGGCACCAGGCUCGGCGAGGAGAAGAAGAACAUAUUCUUUCCGCCGUGCGCACCCAAUGACGUGAACCACGCGGAGUUCUACCGCGAGUGCAGGCCACCCUGCAGCUACAUUGUGACCAAGGACUACGGUCAUCUGGACAUGCUGGACAAUAACGCCUCCAAGUUAAUGACCUGCGUGUGCAAGGAUGGGGGUGGGUGCAAGGACAAGAUGAGGAGGUGCGUUUCUGGGAUCAUGGUGGCAUUUCUGAAUGCUACCAUUGGUGAGAAACAUGGAGAUCUUGAGGCCAUACUGAGAGACCCGACAGUUGCACCAGCCACGCUUGAUCCGGUUGAGCACCGCCUGGCGUGA
rnacentral:rRNA from 1 species